UACGUAGGGACCAAGCGUUGUUCGGAUUUACUGGGCGUAAAGGGCGCGUAGGCGGCAACUCAAGUCAUCUGUGAAAUCUCCGGGCUUAACUCGGAACGGUCAGAUGAUACUGCUUUGCUCGAGUGCGGAAGGGGCAAUCGGAAUUCUUGGUGUAGCGGUGAAAUGCGUAGAUAUCAAGAGGAACACCUGAGGUGAAGACGGGUUGCUGGGCCGACACUGACGCUGAAGCGCGAAAGCCAGGGGAGCAAACGGG
rnacentral:rRNA from 1 species